AUUUAGUCCACCUAAAGUAUCUCAAUCUCCCAUAAAUUACCGUACCACUUUAGAGCAAUUCAAAUGAGGUACAGCCCAUUUGAUACAGGAUACAACCUUAACUAACGGGUAACAUUAAAUCUACACCUUUAAGUAGGCCUAAAAGCAGCCACCCCUUAAAAAGCGUCAAAGCUUAAUCAUGUUUUCAUCAAUUUUAAAUUCAACAUUGAUCCCUUUAACUUUACUGAGAAUUUCUAUAUCAUAUAGAACAUUUUAUGCUAAAACUAGUAACAAGAGAAAACCCUCUCCCAAUGCAAACACAAGCCAGCAAGAACCCAUCACUGGCAAUUAACAGACCUAGACAAGAGUAGUAACACAACUAGAAAACCCUACUGUCAUAACUGUUAACCUAACACCAGAGCAUUUCAGGAAAGAUUAAAAGAAAGAGAAGGAACUCGGCAAACACCAGUCCCGCCUGUUUACCAAAAACAUCGCCUCUUGCUUCUAUAAGAGGUCAAGCCUGCCCAGUGACUUUGUUCAACGGCCGCGGUAUCCUAACCGUGCGAAGGUAGCGUAAUCACUUGUUUUCUAAAUAAAGACCAGUAUGAAAGGCAUCACGAGGACUAAACUGUCUCCUUUUUCCAAUCAGUGAACCUAAUCUCCCCGUGAAGAAGCGGGGAUUAUUAUAUAAGACGAGAAGACCCUAUGGAGCUUAAAACAUUAAAACAUCUGCCACCAAACUCCAACCACUCAAGUGUUUUACCCAAGUGGCACUUUGAUUUUAUGUUUUCGGUUGGGGUGACCGCGGAGAAAAAUUAAUCCUCCGCAAUGAAAGGGGGCUCCCCUUAAACAAUAAGCUACAUCUUUAUGUAUCAAUAAAUUGACAUCCAUUGACCCAAUGACUUGAUUAACGAACCAAGUUACCCUAGGGAUAACAGCGCAAUCCACUUUAAGAGCCCCUAUCGACAAGUGGGCUUACGACCUCGAUGUUGGAUCGGGGUACCCCAGUGGUGUAGUCGCUACUAAAGGUUCGUUUGUUCAACGAUUAAAACCCCACGUGAUCUGAGUUCAGACCGGAGUAAUCCAGGUCAGUUUCUAUCUAUAAAAGAGCUCUUUUCAGUACGAAAGGACCAAAAUAGCAUGGCCAAUGCCCCCGCAAACCAUAGUUAAUCAUUUUAGGCCUCCGCUCAAAAAAUUAUUAACCUCGCCCCUUACCUCAAAAAAGAGCA
rnacentral:rRNA from 1 species